rnacentral:rRNA from 1 species
CGCAGCAGUCGCGAAAACUUCACAAUGGGGGCAACCCCGAUGAGGGAAUUCCUAAUGCUAGCACAUUUGUGUUAGCUUUUCUUUAGCGUAGAUAACUAGAGGAAUAAGGGCUGGGAAAGACGGGUGCCAGCCGCCGCGGUAAUACCUGCAGCCCAAGUGGUGGUCGAGUUUAUUGAGUCUAAAACGUUCGUAGCCGGUUCGGUAAAUCUUUGGGUAAAUCGGGGGGCUUAACCUUCCGACUUCCGAGGAGACUGCCGAACUUGGGACCGGGAGAGGCUAGAGGUACUUCUGGGGUAGGGGUAAAAUCCUGUAAUCCUAGAAGGACCACCGGUGGCGAAGGCGUCUAGCUAGAACGGAUCCGACGGUGAGGGACGAAGCCCUGGGUCGCAAACGGGAUUAGAUACCCCGGUAGUCCAGGGUGUAAACGCUGCAGACUUGGUGUUGGGGGCCCUUUGGGGGCAUUCAGUGCCGGAGAGAAGUUGUUAAGUCUGCUACUUGGGGAGUACGUCCGCAAGGAUGAAACUUAAAGGAAUUGGCGGGGGAGCACCGCAACGGGAGGAGCGUGCGGUUUA